rnacentral:miRNA from 1 species
ACCUGUGAAAUUUAGUUCUUCAG